rnacentral:rRNA from 1 species
UACGGAGGGUGCGAGCGUUGUCCGGAAUCAUUGGGCGUAAAGGGCGCGUAGGUGGCCCGGUCAGUCAGUGGUGAAAGCGCGGGGCUCAACUCCGCGUCGGCCAUUGAUACUGCUGGGCUGGAGCACUGUAGAGGCAGGCGGAAUUCCCGGUGUAGCGGUGGAAUGCGUAGAGAUCCGGAAGAACACCGGUGGCGAAGGCGGCCUGCUGGGCAGUUGCUGACACUGAGGCGCGACAGCGUGGGGAGCAAACAGG